rnacentral:rRNA from 1 species
AUGGAGUUUCGAUCAAUCGAAAGGGAAAAUACAUACAAGGCGAGGAGGACGGCCGCUUCAUCUUCUUCACAUCAGCCAAAAAGCGCGAGCAACAGCAGCACCGUCCGGACAGGCGCCAUGGAGGCCGAGCUCCCGUCAUGGCCAGUCCGCUUUCGCCUAUCUUCCUCGGUGCCAACCACCGACGUCUCCACCAAGAUGUACGGCGACAGCGCCGUGGUGCCGUGUACGUAUGCAGUACUGGAGGAACCGCCGCCGCCGCGGCUGCUUCCCUAUUGCGGCUCGACUAGGCUGAAGCUUGUGCUGAUGCUUCUCUUGUCAUCCGAAGAGAUUGGAUCAGAUGCAUGCGACAAACAGGUUAGCAAGACAUGGCCGAAAUACUUACCAUGUGUUGUGAACGGCAAAUGCAACGACCCUUGCAAGAACGAGGGGUUCGACAGCGGCCGUAAAAUGCCCGUGCGCUACUAUGGGAGCGAGAAUAUUUUAGUAGUGCACGGAUGCCCACGUGACCACGAUAGCCCAGCCCACCUGGCCCACAACCGCUCGUUCCUCUCGUCCUUAUCCGGCGCAGACGCUUCUCGUCCACUCAUUCACCCCGUUUCUCAUCUCCUAUCUCCAGCGAACGGCCAAAUCAAGUCGCCGGAGAAAUCACCUCCGCUCCCAUCUCCUAUGCGCUUCUCCUCCCAUGCGGUGUUCCGCCGUGCAUCUCCCUCCUACCCUCCUCCCUUCCCCCCACCCCACCCCCACCCCCGCGCUCCUGAAUCUCGUGAUGCGAUGGCUACAGCCGCAGAUCCACAACUGCGUGCUUGGCUGGAAACGGUCAACCCAGUGCUACAACGGGCGACAGCUGUAGAUGCCAGCUCCGGCAGCGACCAUUUUUGUUGGAGUUGCCAUUUUGCUACUACCAGAGCCUUGCUCGAAGCAUCAGGAGUUUUUGCUACCACCCCCUUUUAUUUUUGUUUCGAUUUUUGCUGGAACCAGCCUAAAAAUUGCUCCAACCGUCGUUCAAUUUUGCUGGAACCGGCAUUUUUUGCUUCGCCGGUGGCGGUGAAGGCGGGUGGCAUUUUGCUUCGCCAGCGGCGGCUAGGCUGCGAGCACCGGCGGCGAGCAGAAGCAACGACGGUCCAAAGGAGGGCAGCGGGGGCUAGCGUGCGGGAUCCCGCGAGCGGCGGCGGCGCUCGCUUUUCCCCCGUUUUUUCCCUGUGCGGAGGAUGA